rnacentral:lncRNA from 1 species
ACCAGAUCGACGUGUUGGGGCUCGCAGUUUUAGUUACAGCAAACUAAUUACCAUCCGCGUAAUUUCUAGUUAUGGAUGAGGGACUAUUUGCGCAGCAUCCAGUACUUUUCAUAUUAUCUCACCUUGGAAUCUGCAAAUUAAUAGAGCUGAGGAAACUGAGACAGAAAGAUUAAGGAAACCUGCCCAAAGUCACUCAGCUUGUGUGUGGUGGAGACAGGAUUCCAAUCAAGUUGAUACAGAUAAAGAAGAGGUUCAAAGUCUGAGCUCUGGGCACUCAAACAUGAAGAGGAUGAGUUAAGAGAAACAAACGGCAAAAGAAACUGAGGAAGCAACCAGAGAGGCAGGAUGAAAACCAAGAGGAUGUGGUAUGCUGGGAGAGUGUUAAGGAAAAGGGAGAGCAGCUGGUAGGUCUGCUGACAGGGCAAGGUCUGAGGUUUGACCAUUGUCAUUAACAACAUGGAGGUCAUUGGUGACCCUGAUAAAAGCAACGUCAGUGGAGUAACGGGGUAAAACCUGAUUGGAGGGGAUUCAAGUGGAAUAAAAGGAAAGCAAUUGGAGAUAGUAAAUAUAGACAAUUCUUUCUAGGAAUCUUGCUACAAAUGGAAAGGAAAAGAAAUGGGGCAGUAGCUAAUGAGUUAACAGAGGUAUUGUUCUCUGUAAGUUAACAUUUACAAUGUACUAUUUACAUAUUACAUAUGUAAUUAUGUUACUACACAAAGGCCUUGAGCUAGCAAAUAAAAUGAGAC